rnacentral:rRNA from 1 species
UCAAGUAGAAAAGGGCGCAUGGUGAAUGCCUAGGCACUAGAAGCCGAUGAAGGACGUGACGAACCACGAAAGGCUUCGGGGAGCAGUAAGUAAGCGAUGAUCCGGAGAUAUCCGAAUGGGGGAACCCAAUACCGCGAGGUAUUAUCAAGAGCUGUUAAGGCUGUUGAAGGAAGACGCAGUGAACUGAAACAUCUAAGUAGCUGCAGGAAGAGAAAGAAAAAUCGAUUUCCCAAGUAGCGGCGAGCGAACAGGAAAGAGCCCAAACCAGCUGGCUUGCCAGUUGGGGUAGUAGGACUGCAAUAAAGUACUUGAAGCGAUAGCAGAAUUAUCUGGAAAGAUAAGCCAGAGAGGGUGAGAGCCCCGUAAGCGAAAUUGCAGAGAGACUUAGCAGGAUCCUGAGUAGGUCGGGACACGAGGAAUCCCGAUUGAAACCGCGAGGACCAUCUCGCAAGGCUAAAUACUAACUAGUGACCGAUAGUGAACCAGUACCGUGAGGGAAAGGUGAAAAGAACCCCGGAAGGGGAGUGAAAGAGAACCUGAAACCGUGUGCCUACAAGUAGUCAAAGCACAUUAAAGUGUAAUGGCGUGCCUUUUGUAGAAUGAACCGGCGAGUUACGUUAUGGUGCAAGGUUAAGUCAGAAAAGACGGAGCCGGAGCGAAAGCGAGUCUGAAGAGGGCGAGAGAGUAUCAUGACGUAGACCCGAAACCAAGUGACCUACCCAUGACCAGGUUGAAGGCGUGGUAAAACACGCUGGAGGACCGAACCCACGUGAGUUAAAAAUCGCGGGGAUGAGUUGUGGGUAGCGGUGAAAUUCCAAACGAACUUGGAGAUAGCUGGUUCUCUCCGAAAUAGCUUUAGGGCUAGCCUCGUGUGAAUGAUAAUGGAGGUAGAGCGCUGUUUGGACUAGGGGCCCGUCAGGGGUUACUGAAUCCAGAUAAACUCCGAAUGCCAGAUAUCAAUGCACGGGAGUCAGACUGCGAGUGAUAAGAUCCGUAGUCGAAAGGGAAACAGCCCAGAUCACCAGUUAAGGUCCCCAAAUCUAUGCUAAGUGGAAAAGGAUGUGGAGUUGCGUAGACAACUAGGAUGUUGGCUUAGAAGCAGCCACCAUUUAAAGAGUGCGUAAUAGCUCACUAGUCGAGUGACGCUGCGCCGAAAAUGUACCGGGGCUAAGCAUAGUACCGAAACUGUGGAUGCAUAUCAAAGGAUAUGCGUGGUAGGAGAGCGUUCUAAGAGCGGCGAAGUUAGAUCGAGAGGACUAAUGGAGCGCUUAGAAGUGAGAAUGCCGGUAUGAGUAGCGAAAGAUAGGUGAGAAUCCUAUCCGCCGAAAGACUAAGGUUUCCUGGGGCAGGCUCGUCCGCCCAGGGUAAGUCGGGACCUAAGGUAAGGCCGAGAGGCGUAGCCGAUGGACAACAGGUAGAGAUUCCUGUACUGAAAUUGUUCGAUAAGAGCAAAGGAGGGACGCAGGAGGCUAAUGACGCAUGUAGCUGGAAAAACAUGUGCAAGCAGUAAGAAAAAAGAUGAGUCAAAUGCUUAUGUUUAGAUUUCAAGCUGUGACGCGGAGUGAAAUCAAAGUAGCGAAGGUCAUGAUGUCACACUGCCAAGAAAAGCUUCUAGCCAGAGCAAUUUUACCCGUACCGCAAACCGACACAGGUAGUCGAGUGGAGAACACUCAGGUGAGCGAGAGAACUCUCGUUAAGGAACUCGGCAAAAUGACCCCGUAACUUCGGGAGAAGGGGUGCUGAUGGUAAAAGAUCAGCCGCAGUGAAUAGGCCCAAACAACUGUUUAUCAAAAACACAGGUAUCUGCAAAAUCGUAAGAUGACGUAUAGGUGCUGACACCUGCCCGGUGCUGGAAGGUUAAGAGGAGAGCUUAGCGCAAGCGAAGGUUUGAAUUGAAGCCCCAGUAAACGGCGGCCGUAACUAUAACGGUCCUAAGGUAGCGAAAUUCCUUGUCGGGUAAGUUCCGACCUGCACGAAAGGUGUAAUGAUUUGGGCACUGUCUCAACGAGAGACUCGGUGAAAUUAUAAUACCCGUGAAGAUGCGGGUUACCCGCGACAGGACGGAAAGACCCCAUGGAGCUUUACUGUAGCUUGAUAUUGGGUGUUUGUACAACUUGUACAGGAUAGGUAGGAGCCGUAGAAGUCGGAACGCUAGUUUCGAUGGAGGCAUUGGUGGGAUACUACCCUCGUUGUAUGAACACUCUAACCCUCGCCGGCAAUCACGGCGGGAGACAGUGUCAGGUGGGCAGUUUGACUGGGGCGGUCGCCUCCUAAAAGGUAACGGAGGCGCCCAAAGGU